rnacentral:rRNA from 1 species
CCCUUAGAUGUUCUGGGCCGCACGCGCGCUACACUGAUACAACCAACAAGUCUUGUCCUCGGCCGAAAGGUCUGGGUAAUCUUGUGAAAUUGUAUCGUGAUAGGGCUUGACGAUUGUAACUAUUUGUCACAAACGAGGAAUUCCUAGUAAGCGCAAGUCAUCAACUUGCACUGAUUACGUCCCUGCCCUUUGUACACACCGCCCGUCGCUCCUACCGAUUGAAUGUUAAGGCGAACACUCCGGAAUCGUGGUCUUGAUUAGGCAACUUUUCUUGACCAACCGAUGAAGCUGUGUAAGCCUUGACAUUUAGAGGAAGGAAAAGUCGUANCA